rnacentral:misc_RNA from 1 species
CUGGACAGGCUUGUGUUCCUUGUCUACCGCUCAUCAUGGAUGAAAAGCCUUUUGAACACAAACACACUAGUGUCAGCCGGUGGUAAACAGUCGAUCGACGAUCAUCGUGCUGCUUAGACGUACGUAAACGUGCGUGUAAGCUACGCAAUAACUCUAAGAGUGAGCGCGAGUGCGAUCAACCGGUGAGGAUCACGAUUACGCCCCGCCUUUCUACAGCCAGCUUGCAAGCGUGUCAACGUGCCAGCGUAGCAGCGUGUGCAUCACGCCUACACCUACUAUUAUUUGAUACUGUAUUUACUUGAUAAUCUAUUUCGACUAUGAGGAUAGCCGUUUGACGAAUUAUUCAACUUUGUCGCUGUUCGUCUAACCGUAGCCAAAGUGUUACUCGCGGACUUCCUUGGUCGAGUACCAAAAGAAGAAACUGACCAACAUGAAUUGGAACAAUUACGAUUUGAACGAUACGAGACCGUGGAUGCAGCCGGGUAUCAGAGGUGGAGGUGGCACGGCCCACGCAGGUGGGACAGGUGACGACGAGGCUUCGAAAGAUCCCGGUGUUCGGAUCACUCAUCAAUCUUACACCGAGAAAGACUACGAAGGUCACAGAGCGCACACGGUGUAUGUGGGCGUGCAUCUACCAGGCGAAAGAAGACACCGUCGUCAUCACAAGCACCAUCAUUCGCAACGUCAAACGUAUAGUGCCGAUAAGGAAAAUGUCGACAACGAUAGGCCCAGACAAUUGCUGAUGACUCGAAGGAGUCGACUAUCUAGUAUCUGCAAUCACGACGGCGAAAUGAUACUUACACCACCAGCCCAAAGGGUGCAGUUUAUCCUCGGCGAAGAAGUCGGCGAUGAUGCACACGAGUCACAUCCACUUUUCUCUGAGAUGGAAGAGCUCGUCAAGGAUGGCGACGAGAUGGAGUGGAAAGAAACAGCUAGGUGGAUCAAAUUUGAAGAAGAUGUCGAGGAGGGUGGAAAUAGGUGGAGCAAACCUCACGUAGCUACCCUCUCGUUACACGCUCUCUUCGAAUUAAGAAGCCUGCUGUUAAAUGGCACAGUGAUGUUGGACAUGGAAGCAACGAGCCUGGAACAAAUCGCCGAUUUAGUACUUGAUAACAUGAUCAACAAGGGCUCCUUGCCAAUCGAAUCGAGGGAAAAGGUCAAGGAAGCUCUUCUAGUGAGGCAUCGGCACCAACACGAGAGACGCAAAGAUAACAACAUGUCCAGGCUACCCAUUAUCCGAUCGUUAGCUGAAAUAGGCCGAAAUCAUUCUUCUUCGAAAAAUAACGACUGUACAUGUGGUUUCCAUGUGUUGUUGACAUCAGAUUUACAGGGGCGUCGCGACGCUAGGGACGCCUACGCGCCCUCUGUCGCUCGCAGCAGCAGUUGUCCGAAUUCGAAUACGGCUCUGCUUUCGAAAGAAGCGAAAGAUUUGAAAGGACCGUACCUUCUGGUUCCAGGCCAAGAACCAGGCACCAACGGAAUGGAUCGAAGCCCAAGCAGCGUGUCAAUUAGCAGAAAUCACAGUUCGUCCGCUUUAGAAAAUGGAGAUGCGAAUCAUAGGGGUAAUACACACUUUAUGCGGAAGAUACCAGCGGGAGCUGAGGCAAGCAAUAUUCUCGUAGGAGAAGUCGACUUUUUAGAUAAAACUCUGUCAGCCUUUAUUCGUUUAAGCCAAGCUGGAAUAAUGGGUGACUUAACAGAAGUUCCUGUGCCAACGAGAUUUAUAUUUGUUUUGCUGGGACCUACGGGAGGAAUCACAGGUUUUCACGAGAUCGGUCGUGCCAUGGCUACUCUGAUGUCCGAUGAGGUCUUCCAUGACGUGGCUUACAAGGCCAAGAACAGAAAUCAUUUGCUUGCUGGAAUUGACGAAUUCCUGGAUGCUGUUACGGUUCUACCACCAGGAGAAUGGGAUCCUACGAUCAGAAUAGAACCGCCAGCUGCCAUUCCUUCACAGGAUGUAAGGAAACGACCUAAGGAAGAGAAACCAAAGGAAGAAUUAGACGAAGAAGCGGAUGAACAGAAGCAGAGGGAAGAAUCCGGGCUCUCGAGGUCUGGCACAAUUUUUGGUGGCUUGCUGAAUGAUAUAAAGAGAAAAGCGCCGUUUUACUUCUCCGAUUUUAAAGACGCGUUGGCCCUUCAAUGCGUAGCCUCUUUUAUUUUCCUAUACUUCGCCUGCCUCUCACCUAUAAUUACAUUUGGUGGUUUACUGGGCGAAGCUACGGGAAAGAAUAUGGCCGCCAUGGAGUCGCUUGUUUCCGGUUUUGUUUGUGGUAUCGGAUAUGGAUUCUUCUCUGGCCAACCCCUCACUAUUCUCGGUUCGACCGGUCCCGUUUUGGUCUUCGAGACAAUAGUCUAUGAAUUCUGCAAGAAAUCGGAAUGGAAUUACAUGUCCUUCCGUUUCUGGAUCGGCUCGUGGAUAACCUUGAUUCUGCUAAUCCUCGUGGCGAUUGACGCAAGUGCUCUGGUGUGUUACAUCACACGAUUUACAGAGGAGAAUUUUGCCACGCUCAUUGCAUUUAUCUUUAUCUACAAGGCCAUUGAAAAUGUAUUGUCCAUCGGCAAGAAAUACCCUAUUAAUACUCACGCAAACGAUCCAUACAUCUAUGAGUGUUGGUGUAAUCUGCCAAAUAGCAGCCUACCGUCUAGCUACGACAAUGUUAAUUGGACGGCGCUUGAUCAAAAAACAUGCCAGAGUUUCAAUGGUACGCUGGUGGGCGAUGGUUGCAACCAAUCACACUAUAUACCCGAUGUGUUCCUCAUGUCAAUUAUAUUAUUCAUGGGCACAUUCUUGUUAUCCGUCGAGCUCAAAGAUUUCAAGAACGCUCUCUUCUUUCCAUCAAAGGUCAGACAAGUUGUCAGUGAUUUUGCCGUGAUUAUCGCAAUUUUUUCGAUGAGCACGUUAGAUCAUUUCGUGAAUAUUCCGACGCCGAAGCUCGAGGUGCCGGAGGAAUUCAAACCGACAUUAGGUGAUCGAGGAUGGAUCAUCUGGCCUUUUCAAAGUAAUCCAUGGUGGAGCGCUAUCGUUGCGUGUCUGCCAGCUCUUUUAGGCACUAUAUUGAUUUUUAUGGAUCAACAAAUUACAGCCGUGAUAGUGAAUAGAAAAGAGAACAAAUUGAAGAAAGGAUGUGGCUAUCAUUUGGACCUGUUCAUUCUCGCAAUCCUGAUCGAAAUUUGCUCGGUAAUGGGAUUGCCUUGGUUCGUCGCGGCGACAGUGCUUUCGAUCAAUCACGUGAACUCGUUGAAACUGGAAUCAGAAUGUGCCGCACCAGGUGAAAAACCGCAGUUCCUAGGUGUCCGUGAACAGCGUGCCACACACAUUUUGAUCUUUUUGAUGAUCGGCUGCUCGGUUUUACUCACGCCAAUGUUGAGACACAUACCGAUGCCGGUACUGUUUGGUGUUUUUCUUUACAUGGGAGUCGCUUCAUUGAAGGGACUUCAGUUUUUUGACAGGAUUUUAAUAAUGCUGAUGCCGGUUAAAUAUCAACCCGACUAUAUGUUCCUUCGACAAGUUCCAUUGAAACGCGUGCAUCUGUUUACAACGAUACAGUUGGCUUGUUUAGCCUGCUUAUGGAUCAUCAAAUCCUUUAGCAGCACUUCCAUUCUAUUCCCUUUGAUGCUGGUGGUGAUGAUCGGUAUACGCAAAUCGCUGGACUUGAUAUUCACUCAACGCGAAUUGAAGAUUCUGGACGACGUAAUGCCGGAACCUAGUAAGAAACAUGCCGACGAUCUUCGACAACUGGAGAGCGGCGAGGAGCAGAACGAGUCCAUGGAAUAUGGCCCAUCAGGAAAUAUACAAAUCUCGCUGGCGAAUGGUAAUAUUAUGAAGAUUCCAAUGGCGAGCAUCAAUAUCAGUGAGGAGGUGAAUAAAACCGGGAUUUGGCAACAAGUGAACGAAGGGAACGAGAAAACGAAACAGGUUAAAUUGAUCAACGCCGGAAAGCAAAAGAAGCAUUCGAAGAAGGAUAACUCGUUGAUGACCGACGAGACUACAAGGCUGACUACGAUGACUGAAGAAGACGAAGAUGACAGUGGGAUCUCUAUCAAGGUAGAUCUGAUACGAUCGAAGGAAAGCAUCAGCCCGUUAACGAUUAACGGCACUACCUCGGCCGAGACUUCUGUCUAACGAAAGCAACGGCUCAUUGGGAACGAACGUUCGCGAUCCUCCUUCGAACGGCUAUUCGAUCCUUGAACGAUUCCGAAGAUUCUGUUUUUCUUUGGCCCCGACUAAUCGUUACAGAGCACGUUUUAAUUUUCAUCGUGCACGUUAUCGUGCAGCCAAGUUAAACGCGAUCAUCGUGGUGAAGAAAAUUGUUACAUGGACGAUAAACGAGUCAAGGCGUACAGAUCACUUUGAAACUGUAUGAAAAUGGAAACACCGACAGAAGAACAAUUUUUAUUUCAUUUCCUGGGAAAUAAAACUGGGGUAUCUUGUCUUAUCGCGUCGUAACUUGGACGAGUGCAAUUAUUAACGAGUACCACUAACUGGGUACCUAGAUGUAAUCGAUAUGAACCUAUUAUCCGUUGACAAACAAAAGAAAGAAAGGAAAAAAGCGCACACCACUGAAAUUUAAAGUAGAAUGUCCUAGAUUUAAGAUUCGAUUCAUUGGUAAGUGAACGCGUGAAUUGUCAUCGCUGAAUCUCGAAUCUAUUCUUAUCAGUGUGCUAUAAGUAUUAUACUUAUAAUCUAGCGAUUCUAUGGAUUAAGUAGUUUCUGCCCAUAGUGAGUACGCCAAGAAAACCCCUUUGAUAUAUCGACGUUUCCUUCGAGGGAUGUCUCGCAGAGGAGCUUGGCCGACACGCGUUCCCGAUCGCAGAGUGAAAGCGCCAAAAAGGGUUGUCGGUGUAAACAAAAAUAAGCGACGAGAUUCAUUUUUGUCCAACACCAACGCAACGCUAGUAACUCUAGUUCCAUUGAUUUUUAUUCGAAUUAUUAAAGAGUAUUUUCGGAAUGUUUUCGAUAUACCGGCCAACAGCGACAAUAUAUUAAUUAUACCAUAAAUGUAUAGCAUCUUUUUUACGCUGAUAACAGUGAAAUGUCACUUUCGCGUACAAGGACACUCGCACGGGAGGAUUAAUUUGUCUGUAGAGAAAAGUUUUCCAUGUUUUCUAAUCGAAAUUCUAGCCCUGCUAAAUUUCCAUGCGUAACGCCGUCCCUUGAAGGAUAUCCUUCUUGUUUGAGGAAAAGGAAGCGGACAAUGAGAUUUUUAUCGUACUGCAGUCUUUCAGAUAGUGUGUGCAACGUCCCGAUAUUUAAAAAUUUAAGCGAACAUUGCGCAGGUCCGUUGCACGGACAAGCUGUUGUUAUCCUUCUCCGCCAAUUUUCCAUCGACGCAGACUGACGGAGACAGGACGAUUAGUGGGAAAGGAUUAAAAAAGAAUAUUUGAUACGAUGAAUUUUUUAAUGACACGUUAUCCAAUUAUCACACGUCGAAAUAAAGUUCGAGGUUUUGCAAGUCCACUCGAGAGCUAUGUGAUAAGUUCGUCGGUACGCGAAGAUGUAGCACUGUAAAUUGACGAGAAAAAGGCAAGGGACAACAAGCCUUGUACGACAUACAUUGGAACACCUCUAUCGACAUACGUAUACAUACGGCGAAGUACGAAACGAGGCAAUACUUUGUGUAGAUGUUACGUGUGUUUGUAUAUAUUUAAGAAAGAAAAUCAUUCGCAGUUCUUUAUACGCUCGCAAUGGGAGAAAAAGUUAUUGGUUUCGGCUAGUUACAUGCGGGCUAGUUACAUCCCGAUCCCGUUCGGGAUACAAUGUUUUAUUGUACACUACGGGCUACGAUCACCGUUUUAGUAUUAACUGGUUGUGAUUAGAUAAAAGAAACGAACAUUUCAUGGACAGUGUAUACUUUCUUACAAUUAGCCAGAGAACGAUUAUUCGCGCGUUUCGUUUAACUUGAAAACUCGAACAUUUUUGUAAAUCAUGCGCGAAAUAAAGCAAGCCCUGUUUCGAAAGGUGCGGAUAAAAUUUUAACAAAACGGUAAAUACGUACACGUGAUACGAUGUUCUGCUAGAAAAUAUAUUUUCGAUUUGCAUAUUUUUUUAAAACCGCUAACACAUAUGCUGCAACUUUUUAUAAAAAUAUCACGAGAGCGCUUUGUAUCGCGUAUUAGUUAGAUCGAACUACCUGUCCAGCGUAUCUGCAACGGAAUGAAACAAUUCCGUCAGACGUUUAUCGAAAGUGAAAAAUAUUAGCCGAAACAGAAAUUAGAGCGUUUUACUUCGGAUAUCGAGGCAGCAUCGAAGAACAUUUUGUUACGGCAAGCAAUAAGCUUAGCAGAAGGUUCAAAUUCCUACCUCAUUUACGACUUUGGUGACAUUAGAAGUUAGCAAAGCAAGUGGAUACAAGGAC